UUAUUAUACCUUUGUUGCUUUGGCGGGCCCGUCCUCGGACCACCGGCUUCGGCUGGUCAGCGCCCGCCAGAGGACCUAAAACUCUGUUUGUUCAUAUUGUCUGAGUACUAUAUAAUAGUUAAAACUUUCAACAACGGAUCUCUUGGUUCUGGCAUCGAUGAAGAACGCAGCGAAAUGCGAUAAGUAAUGUGAAUUGCAGAAUUCAGUGAAUCAUCGAAUCUUUGAACGCACAUUGCGCCCCCUGGUAUUCCGGGGGGCAUGCCUGUUCGAGCGUCAUUACAACCCUCAAGCUCUGCUUGGUAUUGGGCUCUGCCGGUCCCGGCAGGCCUUAAAAUCAGUGGCGGUGCCAUUCGGCUUCAAGCGUAGUAAUUCUUCUCGCUUUGGAGGCCCGGGUGCGUGCUUGCCAGCAACCCCCAAUUUUUUCAGGUUGACCUCGGAUCAGGUAGGGAUACCCGCUGAACUUAAGCAUAUAUA
rnacentral:rRNA from 1 species